UACGUAGGGUGCAAGCGUUGUCCGGAAUUAUUGGGCGUAAAGAGCUCGUAGGCGGCUUGUCACGUCUGCUGUGAAAACUCGGGGCUCAACCCCGAGCCUGCAGUGGAUACGGGCUAGCUAGAGUGCGGUAGGGGAGACUGGAAUUCCUGGUGUAGCGGUGAAAUGCGCAGAUAUCAGGAGGAACACCGGUGGCGAAGGCGGGUCUCUGGACCGAUACUGACGCUGAGACGCGAAAGCGUGGGGAGCGAACAGG
rnacentral:rRNA from 1 species